rnacentral:rRNA from 1 species
UACUUCUUGACAUCCAGAGAACUUUUUAGAGAUGGAUUGGUGCCUUCGGGAGCUCUGAGACAGGUGCUGCAUGGCUGUCGUCAGCUCGUGUUGUGAAAUGUUGGGUUAAGUCCCGCAACGAGCGCAACCCUUAUCCUUGUUUGCCAGCACGUAAUGGUGGGAACUCCAGGGAGACUGCCGGUGAUAAACCGGAGGAAGGGGGGGACAACGUCAAGUCAUCAUGGCCCUUACAAGUAGGGCUACACACGUGCUACAAUGGCAGAUACAGAGGGCAGCGAACCUGCGAAGUGGAGCGAAUCCCUUAAAGUUUGUCGUAGUCCGGAUUGGAGUCUGCAACUCGACUCCAUGAAGUCGGAAUCGCUAGUAAUCGUGGAUCAAAAUGCCACGGUGAAUACGUUCCCGGGUCUUGUACACACCG